rnacentral:rRNA from 1 species
CCUACGGGAGGCAGCAGUGGGGGAUAUUGCACAAUGGGGGGAACCCUGAUGCAGCGACGCCGCGUGUGGGAAGACGGUCCUCUGGAUUGUAAACCACUGUGCCCAGGGACGAAAAUGACGGUACCUGGGGAGGAAGCUCCGGCUAACUACGUGCCAGCAGCCGCGGUAAUACGUAGGGAGCGAGCGUUGUCCGGAAUUACUGGGUGAAAAGGGGGCGUAGGCGGGGACGCAAGCUGGGGGUAAAAACCAGGGGCUAAACCGGGUGUCGCACUUGAAACUGCAGCUCUUGAGUGAAGUAGGGGCAGGCGGAAUUCGUGGUGUAGCGGUGAAAUGCGUAGAUAUUAGGAGGAACACCGGUGGCGAAGGCGGCCUGCUGGGCUUUGACUGACGCUGAGGCUCGAAAGUGUGGGGAGCAAACAGGAUUAGAUACCCGGGUAGUC